rnacentral:rRNA from 1 species
AUUGAACGCUAACGGUAUGCUUAACACAUGCAAGUCGAACGGCAGCACAAUUGUAGCAAUACGAUGGGUGGCGAGUGGCGGACGGGUGAGUAAUGCAUAGGAAUCUGCCUUGUAGUGGGGGAUAACCCGGGGAAACUCGGGCUAAUACCGCAUAAUCUUUACGAAGCAAAGUGGGGGACCGUAAGGCCUCAUGCUAUAAGAUGAGCCUAUGUCGGAUUAGCUAGUUGGUAGGGUAAAAGCCUACCAAGGCAACGAUCCGUAGCUGGUCUGAGAGGAUGGUCAGCCACACUGGGACUGAGACACGGCCCAGACUCCUACGGGAGGCAGCAGUGGUGAAUAUUGGACAAUGGGCGCAAGCCUGAUCCAGCAAUACCGUGUGUGUGAAGAAGGCCUUAGGGUUGUAAAGCACUUUUAGUGGGAAAGAAAAGCUUAUGGUUAAUAUCCGUGAGUGCUGACGUUACCCACAGAAAAAGCACUGGCUAACUCUGUGCCAGCCGCCGCGGUAAAAC